UGUUAGCAGUCAGAGAGGUAGGAGCCCCCUAAGCCAGGAUAUAAGGAGAAGCCUAACUGCAGCCUAAGAAACAACCUCAGAUUGAAGACUGUGUCCUGGCCAGAUGUACUUUGACUGUGAUGACAGCCCUAGGAUAUGGGUGACUAGAAGGGACCAUUUAGCAACUGAUUUCUGAUACUGUACUGUUUCCAAACUGAUAGAACUAUAUUUACAAUACCUAUUCAUACAGAAGUCAACCCCUGAUGACUCCUUUACCCUUCAUCAUUGGCAAUAUGGGUAAAGAUUCUCAGAACAGUAGGAGUACCAGAAGCAAGACUACAAUAUUCAGUGUUGUCAAGUCUGUCUAAAUAAUGAUUGAUAUAAGGAACAAACUCAGCAAAAUCUGUACAACAAUGACUCCAUUUUCUUUUUCCAUAUUAACCCUAAAAUAAUUUCUAAGCUGUUGUGUUCUAUGCCAAGCAAGUGCCAGACAAAAGAAGGAUUUCAGACACCUAGGGCCUUCAGUCUUGAUCAAAUAUAUCACUGAAGUGGAAAAGGAGCAUGAAAUAAAGCAGUGUGCGUGGCAGUGUGUCAAUGAGAAAGGCGAAUGAGGAGUAGCUGAAGGAACAUUUCAAGAUUCUUUGAAGCAUGUUUGUAUUUUUGCAUCAAGAUUCAGCAACUCCCAGUACAUCUGAAGAAGAAUGCAAAUGAGCUGUCUUCAAAACUAUAUAAAACAGAAUCCAGUCCUCUGUUCAUGCCACUUGUCCAGCUGCAGAGACACUAUCCAGAGCCCAGUGAAACUACCAGAAAGAUUCCCACUGACUUUGGCGGCUUUCAGACCAGUCCAAGUUCCAAACCUGGGAGUUUUGAAACCCUUCCUGCCAAGAUAAGAAGACCCCCUCAAUCCCUGUUUAUCUCAGUAUUUCAUAUGAUCCAGUGCUGAAUUCGUAAAUGACCAGUGGUUUAAGUGGAAAUAGAUAAACUGAGAAUCAAAAAUAAUUCCUUGUAUUCCUAGGGAAAGAUGUAGGUCUUGAAAGCACCCAGCAGCUUCUCACCGAUCAUCCAGCAGGCUUUGGAAACGACACCAUAAGCCUACCUGAAAGUUCUGUUCCAUCUGAAAAUAUGUCUUCCUUUCUCUUUUCUGUGCAUCUUGAAGGAGCUAUUCCAUUGAACCUGAGCUCUCUGACUGAACGUACUGAUUUAGCUUUUUCAAGAAAGUAGUGCCUCCUGCCUCCCCCAACAAAAGAUUUACAAGUUUGAACGUAAAGAAACAAAAGUGACUUAGAAACCCAUGGAAGAGUUAUUCUGGCUGUUUCUUUUUGAAUUGAUGGGAUAGUUUGUCAGCUUAGUUGUUAGCAAUGCCCAUACUGCACCUGUUCGGGACACCCUGAAUAUGCACAACAUCCAGUUGGUGUCAGUCUUUGCAGGAAACAGCUUUACUGAGUAGCCUGUCCUAGCCUGCAGGCAUGAUUCUCAUAGGAUUGAAAUAAUAUCACACCCACCUCACCCCUUCCAGUCCAAGCACAUGGCAUGUGACUUCAACCUGCCUUCUCUGAGACACACUCCGAGCAGCACCAAACCAACACACUGCACUGCACAUACAAUUCUCCCAUUAGGUAAAGAGAAAAGAGAGAGCAAACCACUUAACAGAUAUUAGUUAUGUCAUGUGUUGCACAUCGUGAAGGCACUCGGUUAUGAACAGUUAUCAACGCAUUAUAAGAACCUCUAUAGAAUAUUAUAUAAAAUAGAGCAUAGGGCUAAAUAUCAUUUUCGUUGUCAGGGGUGUUUCAACAUCUCACUUACCCAUCCAGUUGAGGGAAUUUUGUCUUGGCAUUGACAAGGAGGUUGUUCUAAUUCCCCUUAAUACAAUGUAGCCAGCUUGUCAUCUCAUUCACAUGCACAAAUGAGAUGACUCAGGUUUUUUAAUGGGACCUGAAGUUCCUUUCAGCACAGAUCCCAGCACUGGGUAGGGAAAGGGCUGAAAUGUAUGGUCCACUCUGUCUGCUAGCUUUUCUUCUGUCUUUUCUGCCUACUUGGUCAGCCUUUCAUUUGUCUCCUCUUCCAUGUGGUUUCUGAAGACUAUGUUUCUCAACAAAGCAGAGCUUUGUUUUUAUGCUGUAGUUCUAGCAUUAUACCAAGGUUUAGUAAGGAAAACCCUACACUGACUAUGUACUAUUUAUUUCAGUAUUUCUAAAUAAGUUCUUUCCUUGGAAAAAUUAUUGGCUUAGCUACAUGGCAGCCAACCCAAGCAAGUUGAGGGUGAAAUUCCUAGCUGAAACAGAAACUGGAUAUAUAAGCCAGAAUAGUGUUAAUGGAAAGGAGCACCUUAUCCACUCCCACUGCUGUGACGAGUCAUGGUAUUUAACUAUAUUUAUGAGCAUGUUGAGUGGUCAAGUGACAUCUAUCCCAGACAAAGCUGUCAUUCAGUUUAAGCUGGCCUGCAGUAAAUUCUGUUUAAUGGGGAAACAUACCCCAUGUAAAUGGACUACCUCCUCAGGGCAUUUUUUCCAUCCCCUUGUCAAUAAAUGAAGACCUGUAAAAGUUCAGAAACAUUGUGCUUGUCAGCAAAUUUUGUCCUGUUUGACUAAUAACAAAUGGGUGCAACUAUUUUAAGUUUUGUUAGGUUACUCCAUCACUACCAGACAUGGUAUAGUCCUUUCAGAACUGAUAGUGUAGCAGCAUUUUCCUGAAAUUACAAUCAGUGUCUUUGUGCUCAGGACUACAAGAAACCCAUGGCUGCCCCACAAGGAUUGGUGUUUAGAAGAUACAUUGGGGUAGCUUCUUAGACCACAUAUCCCCUUUUGACACGUGUCCUUAGAAAAUUGUCCUUUAAUGAUCACACCCGCUACUGUAACUUGUGUUUUUUCGGUAAUGUAUUGACAUUUAUUUAUUUGAUUUUUUUUCUGUUUACUUAUUAUCUGAUUAGAAACCUGAAGAUUGUCUGGAGGCUUAUUCCACCUGACAGACAUAUGUUAUCUUUAUCCAAAACCCAUGUAUUUCUAUGGCACCUGACAUACUAGAGUGCUGUAUCAGUGAGCUAUUUAAGCAUAUAUUUUAAGUCUAUGACAAGUCCCCCUGACUUUGCUGAGACUAUCACAAGUUUAAAUUAUCCACGUGCUUAAGUGCUUUGUUGAAUCAGGACCUAACUAUAGUUAGAAAAUGAACUUGAAUGGGAUAGCUACAUGCAAAUAGAUAUUUACUUGAUACAACCCAAAGGCAUGCAUGAAUCCAAACUAACUCCUUUAUAAAGAAUUUUUAGAUUCUGGUUUCUCAUAUUACCAAUCGGUAUUCUGUGCUUACCAUCAGCAGAUACUCUGGGGUGAUUCUGCACUUUUUUUUAGACUAUUUGCUCUACAAUAAACAUUAGAUUGGAAAUUCAUGGUAAGAGAGGAACCCAUAGGAAUAACGUUAUGAACUGUUGUGAGGAAGCGUGGUUGUAUUUCUUGGCUUUUUACACUUUGUUAACUUUACUUAAGUUAAUGCGCUGACACUGCCUUUUGCACUAUGCUGUACAUUUGUAAAGUUUUACAGAGAACUCAAAAUAAAAAUGUUGCCUUUUUCUCAUUUAA